rnacentral:rRNA from 1 species
GAUGAACGCUGGCGGCGUGCCUAAUACAUGCAAGUCGAGCGAACGGACGAGAAGCUUGCUUCUCUGAUGUUAGCGGCGGACGGGUGAGUAACACGUGGAUAACCUACCUAUAAGACUGGGAUAACUUCGGGAAACCGGAGCUAAUACCGGAUAAUAUUUUGAACCGCAUGGUUCAAAAGUGAAAGAAGGUCUUGCUGUCACUUAUAGAUGGAUCCGCGCUGCAUUAGCUAGUUGGUAAGGUAACGGCUUACCAAGGCAACGAUGCAGAACCGACCCGAGCGGGAGAUCGCCCACACUGGAACUGAGACAGAGUCCAGACUCCGACGGUGGGCAGCGGUAGGGAAUCUUCCGCGAUGGGCGAGAGCCUAACGGAGCAACGCCGCGUGAGUGAUGAAGGUGUUCGGAUCGUAAAGCUCUGUUAUUAUGGAAGAAGAAAUGUGUUAGUAACUGUGCACAUCUUGACGGUACCGAGUCAGAAAGCCACGGCUAACUACGUG